GCACAGUUCAAAAAGCUGUGAGACCACAUGACCGAAGCCUUAAUUCUUUAAUCCACCUGGUAACAGUGCUGCUGUACAGGUUCAAUGCAACCGUGCAUACAGAGGCCAUAAUAGAAGACUCUGCAUAUAGGUGAUACUCAAACAUUUAUUCAAUACUUGAUUGUGUAUGUACAGAUUUUGGAAUUCAGCACAUCUUAAGGCGCAACAGUAACACCAAUGAGAAUUACACUGGACGGGCUCUGUUCCUAGGAUAUGAAAUUCAUAGAGCAGUAGAGUAUCUAGCAUAAGGAAGUAAAAUUAUACAGAGAAAAAACAAACUUACAAUUCCCGGAAGUCACAGGGAUUCUCUCUUUUUAUGACGCCAUGACCGCACAAUCUCCUGACUGGCAAUUCCUGGAAAUUAUAAUCUCCAUAUGAUGUAUGAAGAUGGAGGAAGAGGAGAGUAUUAGCCUCACCACCAAUGUAGGAGAGAAGAGCAGCCUGGGCCCUUAGUGAUCUCUCGAGCCACCAGUCACACUGUGGGAGCCACAUUGUGAAUUUUGAUUUUACACAGUGUGGGAGAGGCUCUCGGGGAGGGUCAUGCACUGACCAGCACUUGUGAGCCACCAGCCAGCUCCAGCCAGUGGAAAGUACAAGAGAGCUGCACCACUGGAGAAAGGAGGAUGGAUGCCAUUUGUAUUCAGGACAUUCACACGUUUUACAUUGAUGUACAGGACCUUUGUCACUGGACUGAUGAGACAGUUGGAAGUACUGCUCAAGAGCCAGGUGCUUGACAAAUAAAGAAUUUAUGAACUUAUAUACAUAUAAAUUAAUAUAAAUGUGUGUAUAAACUUAAAUAUAAGCAUAUAUAUAUAAUUUAUGGCAUUAAAUAAAUUGAAUACUGGUCAUAGUCAUCCAUUUCUAUAUUGGAAAUAUUAUACUCCGAGUCACCUACCAAGUUAAAGAACAUCACACCAGAAUAUCAAGCUACUUAGGAUGAGAACAAGUGCAAAAUGAAGACAAGCUGAAUAGAAGCACCUGUUGCCAAUUUGUGUACACAGUCAAUGUAGAGUGUUAAUGACCGAUUUCCAGUACUGGUAUAAUUUCUGUCUGCUACAGGGGUGUGUUUUUAAGUAAAGUGGAAUGGAAAUGGUUUAUACGGUAUCCCCUUAAUUCUGUUCAGUCUUUUUAAUCUUAAGGAACUGCACUGUUUGAUGUUAAUAUCUCCACUCUGUUAUGAGUUUAUAAUUGCCUCUUUAUUUUCAAUAUUUCCUGACCCACUUGUUUUAAGUUUGAUUCUUAGAUUUUCUCUUCUUUUUUUAAUUUUAAUUUUUAAUUUUUUAAUAUAUUUUUUAGAUUUUCUCUUCUAAGCUUUCAUUUGCUUUCAUUUACUUUAAUGUCCUUUAUAGUUGAUUUUAUUUUUCUAACAUGCCCUACUCUUAAUUUUAUGUUGUCACUCACUGUGUUAUGUUUGUUCAUAUGAUCAACAAAAUCCAUUUUAACUGUCCACCCCAUUUAUUGUUAGGUUUUGCGUUCUCUGCUGUCAUACAGAGAAGCAAGCUUUUAUAUGAAGACAAGAUAAAAACUCCUUUCUUUAAUAAAGACUGAGUAUCCCCCUGCCCUUAUCAAUUAGAUGACAACUUUAAAAUAAUUUAUUUCUAACCUCUUGCUCAUUUCCCUGCCUUUCCCCAUGAUUUCAGUUGACCUCCAUUUCUUACCCUCAUGUUUGCUAGGAUCAUUUAACAGCAGAGUGGAUAACCUUAGUGUUCAUCAACACAUAGCUGCCCUUUAUUUUCUAUAUCCCACUUCCCAGCUCCCCUGCACUCAGUUGAGGCCAUGGAACAUAUUUGAGCCAAGGAAAUGUAAGUAGAAGUCAUGCGGAUCAUCUCUAAGCUGCGUCAGCAAAAAGCUUUUGCGCACUUUUUAUAGCUUCUCUCUACCUCUCCCUGAAAAAUCAUGGAAAAGCACUUGUCUUAAGAUGGUAGAGCCUCAGAACUUAAGUGGUUUGAAAUUUGAGAGGCGUUAGAGAGGUUGGCUAUCUGAGAGAGUCACCCAAGGUGAAGAGGUUUAGCAUAAUCAAGUGAGGACUAAGUUUUUAUUAUAGAAAACCACAGAAAUUUUGAGGCUGUUACCAAAUAUGGAGGGUUCUACGCUUCCUUUAUAGGAGUUCUUCUUUGACACUAGUAUGGUAUAGGCUCAUGAACCUGCACGCUACAGAGCUUCUAUUUCUUUUCUUCUUUAUCUUCUCAUAUUUUGAAUUCUGUAUAACCCUUUAUUUGGUUAUCAGUUAAUGCAUUUUUCUCAAUUGUUUUUCUCAUGGGAUAAAUGAAUAGUUUACAUUCUAGACUCAUGCUGAUGUUUUAUUUAGGUAUGCUAUCUUAGUGAUCUAGAACUUUGGAGCUGUGGUCCUUUCUUCUCAUUCAUCUGUAGUUACCAUCCCAGUCUUCUGGUCUAUAUUCUUACAAAGAUAAUUUUCUGGCCAGUUUGAUGCUCUUCACUUUGUAGUAAUAAAUGAGUUUAAUAUUGUAUUUCAUUUUCACUUAAUAUUUGGCAUUCAAGCCUUUUAUGCAGAAUAUACAUGUGUGUCUUCUUAUCCAGCCUAUAAUGGAGUGAAUGCUUUGAAAUUUCAGAUUCAAAUUUCUUUCAACUCCAAAGGUGUUCCUUCUAUAAUUGUAGACAGCAUUGAAGAUGACCUCCAAUGGUCCCCACCUCUUGGUAUUCACAAUCUUGUGGAGUCCCCUCAAAGACUGUGCCAAGGCGGAUCUGUUGCAGUGUACAGCACAAAUAAUGUUCAAGAAUCUGCCAAAUCCUGAAUAAUGAUGUGAGAGCUCUCAACUUCCACCCGUGCCAUUAAAAGUCAGAGAAAACAAUGUUCAGUUUCAGCUGCACAGAGUUUUCACUGUGAGGCACACAAAGAAUAUCUCAAACGUCACAUCGUACCCACCAACUUACGGCCAUAAUGAUAUUUGUGUCAACAAAAGAAGAUAACCAGCAUGUGUGUCGGGAGAUGCUGUGCAAAACAAGAACACACGUGGGUGACUGCCUGGGUGAGGCCCACUGUGCAAGCAGCCCCAGCUGAAAAAAAUGGUGGCUGGACCCCCCCGAGGCUGCAGCACUCCUGGCAUCCUCCACUGGACAAAAGUAGCAACACUGGUGAUGAUAAGAAGUUUCAAAAUUACCUCUGGUCACAAUUCUCUUUUGUACCUAUUUCACUGUGAGACUGGCAGCCAUGUCUUUACAAGGAUGACAAGGUGACUGAUCGGUCCUGGGGGGAUGACUGAGAGACUUCCACAUGAGAACGCUCACGUAUUCAAGGCAGUAGCAGGGAUGCUGAGGAAGGGGAAAUCCUUCCUCCAUGAAAGGACAUGGAUGACAUUAAUGUGUCACCGUGGAGAUGCUAGAGUCUGAGCCAGCCCAUUAUGCCACAGGUCAAAAGUCAUAAGCAAACCACACAUUAGUCAUCCAGGGCUUGACAGUCCAAAUAUACACCCAGAAAACUUUGAGGCCAACUUCCUAUGAAAGGAAAAGUUUCAUCUAAGUGCUUAGAGAAAUGUGAUGUGACCUCAGGCCGUUGGAUAAGAGAGAUCACUUGUUCUUCAUAUGAGCCAAGGCAGUCGUUCAUAAACCUACUUUUAAAUGAAAAUUCAACAGGGCUAAGAUACAAAUAUCACUUUAAGAGAGAGAGAGAGGUAGAGACACAGGCAGAGGGAGAAGCAGGUUCCAUGCAGGGAGCUCGAUGUGGGACUCGAUCCCGGGUCUCCAGGGUCAUGCCCUAGGCCAAAGGCAGGUGCUUAACCCCUGAGCCACCUGGGCUGCUCAGUUCACCCCAUCUUGGAAGAGUUUAUCCUGGAAUCUGAUUGGUCUUUGUUGGGGGAAAACCAACAGGGGAAGCCAUCCAUGGACCUCAAGAGCAGCCAUCCAAGUCCACUGUUGUUACAAUCACUCCUCACCCCUGUUUCAAACACCUGUGAUACUGCCCUGCUCCAGCCACCAGUGCAGAGCCUUCCACCACAUUCCAUCACACCUCGCCAGCAGGCAGCCGCAGUAACUGCAGGUCUACACAGGCCUGAUUCCAUGAGUACUUCGCCUACCAACUGGAUGGAGUAGUCCCUGCCCACAUCCCGUUAGUGUCCACUUCUGGCACCAACUCUUCUUCAGUUGGAGGCCUGAGAAAGACUUUGAAAUGGAGGUUUGUCUGCAUGAAGUCUACUGGGGAACUGAAAGCAAUGCCUGUGAGGCAGUGAAGAAGGAAGAAAGACUGGCCACCGGAGAAGUGAAAACAUAACGCGGUCUUGUCAAAGGUCUCGGACAAUCCCUGGAGUUCCAGAGUUGGGACUGUUCCCCAAAGUGACCCAGAAUUGAAACAGCAAAUCAGGCCUUUCUAUGCCUCUCCUGACGAGUCCAAGAUGCCAGCCAUCCCCAGCUGCGUGUGUCACUUUGGGUGAGGCAGUUACUUCCUGGGGAGGAAUUCAGCCGUGAACCCUAAGUGGCCAAAAAGAAUUCCUGCAACACACCGGGGAUUGAGUGUUUGGGCCCUAACAGUGGGCUGUGAACAACUACUUUAUUUAUUCAUGAGACACCAAGAGAGAGAAGCAGAGACACAGGCAGAGGAAGAUG